rnacentral:rRNA from 1 species
GAUGAACGCUGGCGGCGUGCCUAAUACAUGCAAGUCGAGCGAACAGACGAGGAGCUUGCUCCUCUGACGUUAGCGGCGGACGGGUGAGUAACACGUGGAUAACCUACCUAUAAGACUGGGAUAACUUCGGGAAACCGGAGCUAAUACCGGAUAAUAUAUUGAACCGCAUGGUUCAAUAGUGAAAGACGGUUUUGCUGUCACUUAUAGAUGGAUCCGCGCCGCAUUAGCUAGUUGGUAAGGUAACAGCUUACCAAGGCAACGAUGCGUAGCCGACCUGAGAGGGUGAUCGGCCACACUGGAACUGAGACACGGUCCAGACUCCUACGGGAGGCAGCAGUAGGGAAUCUUCCGCAAUGGGCGAAAGCCUGACGGAGCAACGCCGCGUGAGUGAUGAAGGUCUUCGGGUCGUAAAACUCUGUUAUUAGGGAAGAACAAAUGUGUAAGUAACUAUGCACGUCUUGACGGUACCUAAUCAGAAAGCCACGGCUAACUACGUG